rnacentral:lncRNA from 1 species
UCCUCUCCUCUCCUCUCCUCUCCUCUCCUCUCCUCUCCUCUCCUCUUUUUAAAUUUCUAAAAGAAAAAAACUGAGGAAAUAAGUGAAAUUUGAGCACAUAGAUGAGAAUUUGUUUGAAAGAUUAAUGGGACAUUUUUUCAGAACUAGCCACAUGAGAAAGGUUUGAGGUCUUCCCUAUUUUUAGAGUCGCUGCAAUAGUGGAAUAGUGGCCAGCAACAAGUGCACAAGAAAUUAAGGAUCUGACCUUGACUUGGAAAAGAGAGACCCUAGAAGCAGUCCACAAUCCUUUUCUUCCUAUCACUGGCACCUUUUUUAUUAUCUCAAAAAACCCUUGGAGCAUUGUGGAGUGAGAUCAGAGGAGGUCUGCGGUCCCAGAAAGGAAGAGCUUUGAGGAGUAAAGUGGUCUUUUAGCUUCCAUGACAAAAGCAUGAGGUGCUGUUUCAAUGGCAAAAGUUCCUGUCCUUGGUGAGACAAAGUGAGAUUUGCUGGAGGAAGGAGGCAAAGAAAGCAGAGGAGUCCCUUCCAAGUCUUCC